GUGCUGGUUUACACCUUGUUGGGUGCUGGGCUGUGAGCAGACAUUUAUAUCCUCACUCUGCCGCCCUGAGGGGCUGCUGUUCCCACGCAGAUAGGAUGAAUAAAAGAUACUUACAGAAAGCAACAAAAGGGAAGCUGCUAAUAAUAAUAUUUGUUGUAACUCUGUGGGGGAAAUUAGCAUCUGGAGCAAAUCAUCAUAAAGCUCACCAUGUUAAAACUGGGACCUGUGAAGUGGUGGCACUCCACAGAUGUUGCAAUAAGAACAAGAUAGAAGAAAGAUCACAGACAGUGAAGUGCUCCUGCUUCCCUGGGCAGGUAGCAGGAACCACCCGGGCAGCUCCUUCUUGUGUUGAUGCUUCAAUAGUGGAGCAGAAAUGGUGGUGCCACAUGCAACCAUGUCUUGAAGGGGAGGAGUGUAAGGUUCUUCCAGAUCGUAAGGGAUGGAGUUGUUCCUCUGGGAAUAAAGUGAAAACAACUAGGGCAAACGUGUAAAACUCUUCAAGUCCGAAUGGAGAAGUAGAGAAAGGAGGUUUCUGCUGUGCCUGAUGACAAUUUAUGAUUUUUCCACACAUACUAAAUAAUCUGGCUCCACGUUGGAGCACUAGUUGUGAUGAAUCCUAGUCAUGGUCGGAUUCUAAGGAAGGGCCAGAACGUUCGUUGAGGAAUAAGGAGUCAAACCACUCCAGAAAAUGUGUUCCAGCCCUGGUUUAUUACUCACAGAGCAGCAGGUAACCCGAUAGCUAAAGACAAAUCAAGUCAGUCUCAAGGCUGAUAAUGUUAAAUACAACACAUAGGAAUUUCAUUUCUCCAGGCAAUCCUUGAAGUGAAAUUUUGUACUGCUGGGGUGUUCCUUCAGAAUCAAUUGUUUCAAUGAGAACCUGGUUUGUAAUCAACAACAGCCUUGAGAUCAAAACUACUGGAAAGUUAUUUUGAACUUCUGUGUCACAAAGAUUUCAACUGAUUGAACUGUGUACACUUGUAAAAUUGCACUUGCAGAGGAAUUUGCAGCUGUAAUCUCAAGAGAUGGUUUUUGAAAGGUGCAGAAAAUCAGCAAUCGUUCGGAUUCUCCUUUCCAGACUGGUGGCAUUUCAUCCUGAUGAAGUCAAUCUCCAAAAUGUAUUGGUUCCUCCCCUCUAAAAUGAUCUCUGUUCCACAUUUCUAUUGCUGGUGGGACUGCACAAUGCUUUAAUUAAAUUUCCAUUGCAGAAAUUGUCCUCUGGCAUGGCACAAUUUUAGACAUUUUUAUUUGUAAUCUAAUCUUGGAGCUCUAAAGGGUACAUAUUUCAACAUCUUGAAGUUGCUUUUGUUAUAGGAAUGGAAAUAUAUACCCAUUGUUAAUAAUUAUUGUUGACAAGUAAUAGUUAUCUGAAUACAUCAGUCAUAUUAGAAUGUAUAGUCGGGUUGACAUGUUUCCCUAAGGCUAACCAACUACUGCAGCUACUUGGCAGUUAAAAAAAGUAGUGGUCAAAACUCAAUUACCACUUCCAUUAUAAAGCAUUUUAUACCUUUAAGAUAUAUAUUUCAAUUUACUUUGAAGGAGGCAAGUGUUCCCAACCUUUAAAUCAUUGAAAUUCAUGGUAAGCAGUCAAGGAAAGUAUUUCAUCCAUUUUUUAUAAAAGUAGGCAGGGAUGUAAAUGAGUUUUUCAAUUAUGAAAUUGGGUGGUAAUCAUUCAGAAAUUUUCUCUUUUCAGUGAAAAAUAAAAUCUCUUGCUUGAAACUAAGUACUGUUGGAUGCUUAUGUAGAUGUCUGCUCAGAUUGAUUGCUAUAAAGGAAAAAUGUCCUAGUGCCCUCCUAGAUAUAGGGUUCAUGAGUAUUUUGCUUGCUUACUGUCCUCAAAUUCAAACCUAAUCUGUGCCAAAAUCACAUUUUCUUUUUUAAUUUUCUAUUUCAGUAGCAAUUUUUUGAGCCUUGUGAUGUGCUGUUACAUGAAAAAACCUCCAUAUUUAAAGGCCUUAAGCAUCUAUGAACUUUUUUUCUAAGUUAUUACAGAAUGUAUAAUUUUAUACUUCAUUUAGUGUAUAUUGUGCCAUCUGUAAUACUGAUACAACAAAAAUCUGGCAAUUCCUUUUAAUGACACUACAUAAGCAUGCUAACUGAGAGUGAGAGAGUUCUGACUGUACGCUUUGGUGCAUUAAAUGAAAAGCACACAAACUUAAUGAUAGGCAAAAAAUAUAUAGGAGGAAACUUAUUUAAAAGUCCUGUGUGGUUACCAAACUCUGAAAAGGAUGAAAAUGAUUUUUUCAUUACGAGCUAUUGACACGGCAAGGUUGUUACAUAUAAAGUUUCAUGAUGUUGCAUACUUUGGAGAGAUCCGCCUGUCAUGGUAUCCCUGGCUGUUCCAAAACCAUUUCAUUACCUCUGUUGUAUUACUGCACAGGAGAUCUUAAAAUAAAUGAUUGUUGGGAAUAAAAUUGAGAAGUAUCUUCUAUCAUUCUGCUGAGAAAUAAUAAAAAAUGUUGUCAGGGAAAAAUAUUCUUUUCUGAUUGAAAUUUAAUUAGGAUAAACUGUUUGUAGCAGCAAUUAGGUAUCUUGGUAUUUUAGGAUGGAUUAGUAUUGAAUGGAUUUGUGCUGAUGGAGGAUGUGCUAAUGCAGGAUGGAAGGUAGCAUCUUAAAAAGACUAGGACAGUGCAAAGUAUUAAUGUGGUGUUUUGUAAAAUCUGAUAUGAACUGUCUUUGCUCGAAAGUCUGCAUCAUGCUUCUCAAUAUCAUUUUAUUUGUUCCUUUGUUCUUAAACCAACACUGAAAAUACUGUAUUAUAUACAAGUGUAACACAUGCAUAUCAAUAAGUGAAAAUAAAUGGAUUUUCAAAUAUACCGAAUAGAAUAUCUGUAGUAGAUUAAUGUUGUGAUAAUUCAUAACAAGUGAAUAAAAUUGUGAUAUAAAACAGAGUUCCCUGAAUGAAUGUGAACUUUGAAGAUCUAUCUUGUUUACAGAUAGAACAAAAUAAUUUUGUUCAGUGAGUGAGAACUUCAAAGGUUUUAUUAAUUUUGUACUUAUUCAAUAGAUCUCCCACUAGUUUGAAAGAUCUUUCUGCAAAGGAAAUUGAUCUAAUGCAACUGUUCUAGCACUGUCAUGGGAAAUUCAGGUGGGUGCACUGUUCUUUUUAGGUUAGGCUGAAUACAAACACUGUUUUUUUCCCCCACAGUCUUCCUGAAAAAGUCAUAACAGACAUUCCUAAAAUGGUAAUGUUUGGUUUAAUUUAUUAAACUGUUUUAAAAAAAUAAAACCAGUGAACUCUGCUGGUCAAUCCCAGGGAAAUGUGGGAACCAUAGUUCGGCCUUCCACAGUGUCUGUUUUAGUAGUGGUGUCUUUGAAAAUUGAGGUGACUAUGUCAGCUAUGGACAUUCACAUUGUGGGUGUCUGGAAAUGAAUUAUUUUUCAUUUUCUCCUUUAUUCCUUAUAUUCUGCUUCCAAGUUUAUUUGAUAUACAUUUGAAUAAGAACAUGAUCAGGCAUAAAGAUCAGAGGGAAAUCCAUGUGUCCUUUCAAACUCAGUAGUCAUCAAGAGCUCUGAAUCAUUAGAGAAUAUGUGGUCUCUGUCUGCAGUUUUGUGUGAGAGUGCAGUAAUGGAAAGAAAACUGACUGCUUUGUUCAAAUCUUUCAAAAUGAAAUGUAUUGGGUCAGCUCAACAAAAUGAAAAGGAAAUCCUGAUGUGAGUUUUAAUGAUAAAAAUUCCAAGCCAGAUCUAAUAAAUAUGAAAUAGAGACUUAAAAAAAAAAAACAUUUCAAAAAUCUGCAUCAGAUAUACUUUAGAACAAAAUACCUAUUAUAAAGUUUAUUAUUUUGAAAGUAUAUGCAGGUUAUUUGUUGUUGUUGUUGCUGUUUUCAUUUUCCUAAUUAUGAUUGUACAGCAGACUUUUAUAACUAUUCAGGUAAUGCAUGACUGUCUAUAACACCCAAGCAGAAAGACGUGAUUGGCAUUCUUUUUUGCUGAUUUACUGCCUCCUCCUUCAUGACUUGAAUUUUACAAAUAGGUUGUUAACAAAGAUAUAGACAAGGGAAAAGGACACAGUCUUGGUUUGUAAUAGCAGUAUUGCCUUUAUCUCUUUUUUUUUUUCCAAUGGUUAGAUUGCUUUGUAAUCAAACAUGUCACGCCUGAACAAUGGGAUAGCAAUAAAUGAUUUCACAUUAUUUAAAUGAUAUUAAAUAAUGAGAAUUACCUAAUCACUUGAUCAGUGUUCAUAACACAGUUUGUAUCCUGAAAAACUUUUACUGUUUAUUCUUUUAUAGCAUUAGGAAAUAUUUACACUGUUACAUCUUUGAUCAUGUUCCUGUACAUAAUUUUCUGCUACCACUUUACUGUCAUUGUGAAUAUUUCAGGAAAAAUGCCUUCCAUGGCUGGUUGUUUUGCGUCUUCUGUAUUCAUCUGCAUUUCUUAUGUGGUGAUUACAAGAGCUAGUAUAUAAAAAGGGUGAAUUUCCCACAAGUUUAUUUUGACAAGUGAUGACAAAUGUUGCCAACAUCUCUUAAUCCAAAAUUAAAUUUAGAGCCUCUGGCAGGAGGACCAUUGCUUGUGUCAGCUGAGAAAAAUUCUACAGAGGAAUGACUGCUCUUUCUCAGACUACUAUCAGUGGGAUGCCAGGCUAGGCAAAACCAUUGUAGCGUGGUUUCAUUACCAGAGAUGGAGAUUAUGGGGAUGUGGAUCCUGCAUACAGGCAGCAACUUACAGAAGUCCAGGCUGGGGCUUUUUAUGGUGGUGACAGCAAGUCCUUGGUU